rnacentral:rRNA from 1 species
CCUACGGGAGGCAGCAGUGGGGAAUAUUGGGCAAUGGGCGAAAGCCUGACCCAGCAACGCCGCGUGAAUGAAGAAGGCUUUCGUGUUGUAAACUUCUUUUGACAGGGAAGAGCAGAAGGCUAUACCAGUCGGAUAAGCCACGGCUAACGACGUGCCAGCAGCCGAGGUAAUACGUAGGUGGCAAGCGUUUUCCGGUUUGACUGUGUGGAAAGGGCGUGGAGAGGGGUUGAAAAGUCUGAUGAUAAACCCGGGGGCUCACCCCGCGAACUGCAUGUGAAACUGUUGGUCUUGAGUAGCGGAGAGGCAGGCGGAAUUCCUAGUGUAGCGGUGAAAUGCGUAGAUAUUAGGAGGAACACCAGUGGCGAAGGCGGCCUACUGGACGACAACUGACGGUGAGGCGCGAAAGCGUGGGGAGCAAACAGGAUUAGAUACCCGUGUAGUC